UCAAAAGUACUGCGAAGAAUAUUGAUAUU
rnacentral:sRNA from 1 species